rnacentral:rRNA from 1 species
UAAGGAAUAUUGCUCAAUGGGAGAAAUCCUGAAGCAGCAACGCCGCGUGGAGGAUGAAGGGUCUAUGACUUGUAAACUCCUGUAAAGAAGGAAAAAAUUCACAUUUGAUGGGAGAUGAUGGUACUUCUGGAGUAAGCCCCGGCUAACUACGUGCCAGCAGCCGCGGUAAUACGCAGGGGGCAAGCGUUGUCCGGAUUUACUGGGUGUAAAGGGUGCUCAGGCGGAUUUGUAAGUCAGAGGUGAAAUCUUACAGCUUAACUGUGAAACUGCCUUUGAUACUGCGAGCCUAGAGUAUGGAAGAGAGUGAUGGAAUAUCUGGUGUAGCAGUGAAAUGCGUAGAUAUCAGAUAGAACACCAAUGGCGAAGGCAGUCACUUGGUCCAUUACUGACGCUAAAGCACGAAAGCGUGGGUAGCAAACA